GUUUCAUCAAUCAUGAAGAUGGAAAACCCUUUUAAAGAGGUUGUCCCCCCAAAACAAUAUUCUACAUAUUUCUAACAAGCACUUGGAUCUGAAUACUUUUGUAAUUGCAUGUAAUUAAAAAUUUAGUAUAGCCACUGAGUUAUUCAAUAAAUUGUAAUCUGUAUAGCGCCAC